UCUUGUGAUGAACAUCCUGAUAGGGACAGCUUAUGCAAUGCAUGUGAUGUUACCAGGUAGAGUAUUUUAGUAGAUGCCUCUUAUUUCUGAAG
rnacentral:snoRNA from 1 species